GUACUUUAAUCAUUCAGUCCACACUCCCCUAAUCCAAUGCCUUUCAGGACCCCAGCACAUCCUCCCUCUUCCCAGUUUUAUGUCUUCUUAAAUCUUGGUACCCUACUGACUUCCCAUCUUCAAACCCUUUACUCCUGACUCCUAGAAUUUUUCUCAGGCAGUGUCAAGAACCUGGAAGCACUGAGUAGGUGAACAUCUCUGUGGCCUGUUAUCUCUUACCACUCUCCAGUCUUCUCUACUACCAACCCAGUGGAAGAGCCAGAGCCAAUAGUUCAUAAGAGAUUGACAUACAGGCAUCAGCUCCAAAAGAUGACCACCAAACUCUACCCCAUACAGAAUUGUAUCCCCUGUGAGUAACUCAAGUUAUGAGGAGAAACUGGUCAGAAUACAACGGCAGCAUUGGUUUGGGUACUGACAAAGAAGACUAAUCUGCAGGGGUCUAUACAUCACCAUCUGCCACUUGGAAUUUCCAUGACCCAUGAGACUGAACCCCGAGGGAAAGAACUCUGUGAGGCCAAAGUGAAGAAUCUUAUCAACAGGAAAUGGGAUAGCUGAAAGGAAAAGAAACCUUGUGACGGGAGCAUCUUGUCCUCUGAGUGGAUCCACUCAGCAGCUGACUCAGAUACAGACACCCAUAGCCAAACAGUGGAUGGAAUCUGGGGAUUCUUAUGGAAGAAUAGGAGGAAGGAUUAUGAGCCCUGAAGGGGAUAUGAACUCCACCAGAAGACUAACCUGGACCCUUGUGGUGGUUUGGUGAGCAUGGGGAGGUGA